rnacentral:tRNA from 1 species
GACCUAAAGGAUGUGCCAAAUUGCAAGUUUGGUUUUGGAAAUGUAAAUUUCGUAGGUUUA